CGCAGAGGCGGUGCUGCACGUUGUGCACCUUCAGGGCCGGCUGGAUGGGCCACCGCUCCGCACUCCUCCACCCUCCUCCACCCCGAGGCCUCCCCUGACCCGCGGGCGCCCACCUUAAGCUCCCUGGGCCCUGCAGACCUGCACACCCGAGGCGGACGGCGGAUUUGCCUUUGGCUUUGCCCCCCACCCCCGGACUUGGCAGAGGGGUUCCGGCGGGAAUCCGGGCUGGCGCUGGCGAUGCGCAGCCAGGGAAGGCGAGGCGUCCCUUCGGGGUGCUCUCCUGGAACGAGGAGGCGGGAUGCCCUCGCUGGGGUCCGGGGUCCCAGGGGCCCUUUGCACCCGCCGGAACCGUGCGCCCGCCCGACCCGGACCCGGGGACGCGGCCCUGGGAGCCGCGGCCAGUGACCUCCGCGCCCUCGCCGCGGGUCCGAGCGCAGGCAGAGGCCGGCCCGCAGCUCGCUGACCUUGGAUGCAAAGGGGGCCCUGGGGCGGGUGCUCCGGACCCCUCCUGUGGAUUACUUGGUGUGGAUCGGCCGGGCUCAGAAGACCCCGUCACCGUCCACGGAUGGAUUCAUUCUGCCUAGCGGUCGGGUCGCUCACCUGGAGGCUUGGGAAGCAGGAUGGGCAAAGGGUGGCCCUUCCUCACCCUCACCACCCACCAGGAUGCCUCCUGGAGCCAACGUGUGCCACCAGGCGCCCCCUGAACGUCCUGGCUCCCAUGCAACCAUCCCUUAAAAGGCAAGAACUCUGCGUGGGAUGGAGAAAUCUUACUUUGGAGAACAUCUAAAGAAGGUUCUGGGUUUGAGAAGACAUUCGAGGAGAAAGCAAAGACCCCCGCCCUGAGAAACAGUGGGAGUGAUGACCUGCAUGCAAUGGGGGACGCAUCGUUGCUGGGGGCAACCUACGGAGAAGACACCGGUGUCCCAGACCUUGCUUCUUCUUAUGGAAAACGCUUCCUCUGCAGCCACGGGCUCCGAAGGCUCCCCUGCUCCCAUCCAGGAACCCCACCCCUCUUUGCCCCCCACCUCCACGCCUGCUGCGCAGCGAUUCCUGUUUGCUCCCGCAUCUUCUGGCGGAUACAGAAUAAAUUGUUAACUACACUCAGGUCAAGCAGGAUCUGUGUUUUUUGUUCCUGCUUCUCAAGACACGGGUGUGCUGCUGCGCGCACGGCUUGGAGGCGGCUUCCUUCUCGUCUACUCGGGUCUGGUCGCAUGGGUUCCAGAGGGAUGCUGAUCGGUGCAGGACGUUCCUCGGGUGCUCGGGGACCCUGGCAGGGACUCCGGCGGGGGAGCUGGGUCCUGAAGGCUGGCAUUCUCUAUGCCCAACCGUCUCGGCCGGGAUCACACACGGGUAGACAUCUGGAGGAGCAGAAAAUGACUCUGUUGUUUAGUCCGGCUGCCUUCUGUUGAGCCAGCGGCAAGACCCUCUCCUCUCAGGUGGCCCUUGGGGUCCACACCAGAACUUGGGGCUUCUUUAUGGACCAUCCGGCUGCCGGCGCUGGUGGAAUUUAUGGCGGACCCUCUUGGCGGACCCUCUUCCUCCGGAGCGUCUGAUGACCACACACCCGCCAGUGGAUUGGGCCUCAUGCGACACAAGUCCUGUUCAUUUCGUUCGCUCUGUAGCCGCCAUAGGCAUGGACGGAAAUACGUCCUAGAUGUCUACUCAUGUCAGCCUUGGCCACAAUGCAUGGCCAAGCAGGUCUGUACUCGCAAUGUCCACAGUGAAUGGAUGGCUUGCCUUUGUAAGAAAGAAAGGAUUAAAGCGAGACCUGUGUAUCUUC